rnacentral:rRNA from 1 species
GAUGAACGCUGGCGGCGUGCCUAAUACAUGCAAGUCGAGCGAACAGACGAGGAGCCUGCUCCUCUGACGUUAGCGGCGGACGGGUGAGUAACACGUGGAUAACCUACCUAUAAGACUGGGAUAACUUCGGGAAACCGGAGCUAAUACCGGAUAAUAUAUUGAACCGCAUGGUUCAAUAGUGAAAGACGGUUUUGCUGUCACUUAUAGAUGGAUCCGCGCCGCAUUAGCUAGUUGGUAAGGUAACGGCUUACCAAGGCAACGAUGCGUAGCCGACCUGAGAGGGUGAUCGGCCACACUGGAACUGAGACACGGUCCAGACUCCUACGGGAGGCAGCAGUAGGGAAUCUUCCGCAAUGGGCGAAAGCCUGACGGAGCAACGCCGCAUGAGUGAUGAAGGUCUUCGGAUCGUAAAACUCUGUUAUUAGGGAAGAACAAAUGUGUAAGUAACUAUGCACGUCUUGACGGUACCUAAUCAGAAAGCCACGGCUAACUACGUGCCAGCAGCCGCCGUAAAAC